GGCGGGCGGGCCUUAGGCGCAGGCGGCGGCGGCGGCGGCGAGGUCCAGGGCGGGGAGCCUCGAGGGGGAGGAGGCCGGCGAGAAGUAGUGGAGUUUAGGGCUCGUUUCCUGCACUUCCCCAGGAGGCUGGAGCCAAGAUACAGCCUGAAGGACAAAGCUGUUGAGUUCUAGAAAGAGAUAACUCAAAUCACUGAAGGAAGAAAAAUGUGAUUCAAGGCUUAUGGAUCAUUAUAAUAUUGGAAGUACUUUGCUGUUCCUUCCCUGCUCUCAAGUGAUUCCUAGUCUGGUGGCGAAAACAUGAAUGCACAUAGCUAACCAUACUGAAAUGUGGUGACUGAGGACUGGCUUCACCAGAGAAGGUGUCGAUUUCUCUGUGUGAAGACAUGUCCUGGGAAGCUCUGUGUAGAAGUCCGUAGAGUGAGGAACUGAAACCUCCUGCCAAGAACCACAUGAGUGAACUUGGAUGCAGGUUCUUCAGCCUCAAUCAAUCUUCAGAGACUAAAUACAAUAACAGAAACAAUUCUGAGCAACCUCAUGAGAAACUCUGAGCAAGAACCACUCAGCUAAGCCAUGUCUAGAUGUCAAACACUUAGAAAUUGUGAGUUUUUUGUUUUUUUGUUGUUUGUUUUUGCUUUAAGAUACCACAUUUGAGGAUAAUUUGUUACAUAAUAGUAGGUAACUAAUACAAUCUCUAAAUUUACAUCUCCAGUCAGACCUCUGACCUGAACUUUAGACUUGUAUAUCCAACAGUCUGCUUGCUAUCUCUACCUAGAUGUCUUAUAGACAUUUCGAUUUCAGUGUUUAAACUCGUACUCUUUGCUCUCACCUCUCACCCAAAGUUCAACAUAACUUCCGUGUAGGUUAAAUUCUUCAUGCCAGUUAUUAAUUCAUGGAGAAAUCCUUGACUUCUGUCUUUUACACUCUUGCCCCAACCUAUCUAGAAAUUCUUUUGGCUCUACUUGAAAGUUAUCUCCUGAGUUGACCACUGCUCACCACCUCACUGCUACCAUUCUAGUGCAAGUCAGUCUCAUUCUUCAUUUGAUUGUUGCCAGAAACUCCCUAUUGCCUUUCAAUUUCUAUUCUUGUCUCCUUCCCCCCACUGCAGAGUCUCAACACAGAAGGCAGUUUUCCUUUCAAAAUGUAUCCUUAUCCUUUAAAAACUUGAGUUAAAUUUCCCAUUUAGAUACUGGUGGGGUUGCUAGUAUCAGACUAACCUUCCUGUACAUAGCAAUUAUAAACCCUGGACAAAAUAUUUUUUAAAAAGCAGUUAAAUCCCCUCUCAGUGUCUGCUGACUUUGGAUUAGCACUGGUACAUAAUCCAAAGUCGGCAGACGCUGAGAGGCGAUUUAAUGUUUGAAAGAAGA
ensembl:lncRNA